CAAAAAUCAUUAAGCACCUUUUGUUUCAAAUUAUGCCUUUGAGGUUUCUAAAGUAUUACAAGUAACCACUCAAAAAUCACUCUCUCUUUGUGCAUUUUGGGAUUUGAAUGGUUUGUGAUGAUUGCUUUUGAUGUCACAGUGGUUCCAGUUCUCUUUCGACACUCUCUGAAAGAAAUAGAUGAGCAGAGGGUAACGUAUCUGGACCAUAUAUUUUCUGUCAACGCUGUGAAGAUUAGUCCUUCAAUUGAUGCUGAAGUGGUUCUUGCUCUACUAGUUCUGGAAGUCUUCUUCACCGAGAGAGUACAAUCCUGGCUCAUCGACACAAGCAAUUCAUGUAUGGAUAUAGUCCUUGUUUUCAAACUUGCCUGCCUAAUGAUCUUUAUUAUAUUAUUACUUGUUAUGCAGAACCUAUAGUCUCCCGACCAGCUCUUCUUGUCUGGGUGGAAUUAUGUAGUAAAUUCCACUUUCAAGAUCAAGAGUUCGAGUUGGUAUGAACCCACAUUCAAAAAAAGAACCUAUAAUCUCCUGUACAAAUUUCGGCAAUAUAAGUUACAAAAUACUGGGAUGAUUGUGGAAAAAUUUCCACAGCCGAUCCAUUGAAAAAAAAAAAAAACUUUAUAUUUACCCAAAUCAGAGGCUUUAAUCUUCAAAUUUUUUAUUCUUUAAAGUAUUCGCAGCUAUCAAGUUCAUGAUCCAUUAUUUUGGUGACUAGUACGAAAAUUCAACAUUCUGGUUUCUAAUUGUAAUGCCAAAUUUAUUAUCGUGUGACAUCAAAAAGGUAUUGAUGAAUACUUUAUCAACCCGUGGAGUACUUGAGCAAGAUGCAUGCCUAGAUGCUUUAUCUCAAUUAUGCUGGGAUCAUCUGCCAAUCAAAUGUUAGUUUUGCAGCUGCUAGUUGUUGAGAAAAUCAAGUUCAUUUUUAUAUGAAAAAAUAUACGGGUAGUAGAUGUUGAGUUGCUGCCUUUAAUAAAUUGUGUGUGUGUAUUGUUCAUGCCAAUUAAAUGCAUGCCUGCUCAGCAAAAAGCUAGCGUAGGUUUUUUGGAUUUCCGCUGCUUAUUAUUGUAACAAAAAUCUCUAUAUUGUUAGAACGUGAAUUGCAGAUAUUUGUUCAUGCUUUGUUACAUACUUUCUGAAGAAUUCUGAUUAAGCUUCUGAUCUUAUUUGAUUUUCGUUUAUUAAUGAUGUUUCAGGAUUUUGAGGCAUGCAAUGUGGAGCUAGCAUACGAAAUUUUCGAUUGAAGGAUUAAAUCAUAGCCGGACUUGAGGAGAGGCCCAAGAGGCCAUCGCCUCAGGCCCACAUCUUUAGAGGGCCCAAAAAAAUGAUUUAUUUUUUUGGAUUUUUCAUUUUUUUUAUCCUUAAAUCCCACUAAUAACAUUCAAAACGUCCAAUAAUUGUCCCACUAAAUAAAAACCUAAGCCUCCUCCUAAAUUCUUAACUUCUCUAAAAUCCAACCCGUUUAUACUAAUUCACUCUUGCUCCAUAUAAAAUAAGGCUUCUUCAACAAUUAUAUCAUGAAUCCCGGUAACAAUACUGUUUACAUUUGAAGUUAAAUUGCUUGAAUUUUUUUUUUUAUUGAUUUGCCCGUUCUAUUUUAUUUAUAUUUGUUUUAUAUAUGAUUUGCAACAAAAAUUAAUUGUUUUAUGUAUAUCUAGAUUUUAUUAGUUUCUAAUUACUUUUAUAAACGCCAUAGUUUUUAAAUUAACCGGUUUUUAUAAAAUAAAGCCUUUUCAUGGAUUUUUAUUGAUUUUGCAUUUGUGUGCCUGCAUUAUUUAUUUUUUCUUUUUCUUUUUAUCUCACAUUCGGAAAACUUUAUAGUUUAUGAUCAUGUAAGAAACAAAAAGCCACUGAGGUUUGAGAGUUUGGAAAAUUAUAUAUUUUUUUGUUGUUCAUACAAGUAUUUUCAAUAAUAAGUUUGUUGUGGGAUUAUUUACUUUGCUUCAUUGGAAUUUUUGCAUUGCUCUAUUAUUUGGUCUCUAUUUUGGUGCCAAGUGUGAAUGUGGUGGUUUUGGUGGUGCUGCAAGUUUUGGAUUAGAAAUACUCAUUUCAUUGUGUACCAGUUUAAGUGUACUCUAUACCCCUUUCUUUGGAUCAAAAUUUUCACCUACUUUCUGAACAUGCUGCACACAUUUUGGUUGCUAUUUUUCUUUGAUAUUGAUGCAAUAUUAGAUUGACUUUUCAAUGUAAGAUAUGCAAACAUCUCCACAAAACUCGUAUAGUUUCAACCCAAUCACAUAAAAUAGGAGGCAUGGGUUCAAGAAAUUUUAUUAUGGUUUUCUUUGAGUGUUUUCUAUAACUCAAUGAUGGUAUAUAUGGAUUCAAUUGCCUUUGACUUACGACUUAUGAGGGCUUCAUGAAUAUUGACUAUCAACUGAUUAAUUAAUUAUUAUGUAUUAAUUUAUGUUGUCAUUCUUAUGAAUUUGCCUUAUGGUUGGAUAAUUUGACUAUUCAAAAUUGAUUUUUUUUUGUCUCUAAAAUCGCAAAAUGAGUUGUAUUAAAGUUAUCGUUUAAAACGUUAUAAUAUAAAUAUCUUGUAUAUUUAUUUUAUUUUAUUUGUUGUUUUAUUGUUGAUUUUAACUUAACAAAUUUAAUUCCAUAAAACUCUUAUAAAUGAAAAAAAAAAAAAAAAAAAAAGACUGCUUGCUAUGAUUUAGGAGCCCAAAUUCUGAAAUUCGCCUCAGGCCUCACGAAACACAUACGGCCCUGGAUUAAACUAUUGAGGAAGUUGCUCUUCUUAUGAGAGACAAACACAGAGAGGAAAGUAUGAGGUAUCUCUGGUUUGCAACUAAUAUCAUCACUGGAAGGUCUUAACUCUUACAAACGUAGAAGUAAGAAUCAAUUUAUAUUUUCUCGAUGGUAAAAACUAAAUAGUCAUUGUCCAAAUCUGAGUGUGUUUCUAUUUCUGUAUUUUUUAAGAGAAUACAUUUCUUGUUCCAUAUGUAUUUGGAAAUUUUGCCAACUGGCU
rnacentral:lncRNA from 1 species